GACGAACCGUCCAAACGUUAUUCGGAAUCACUGGGCUUACAGAGUUCGUAGGCGGUCUGGAAAGUUGGGUGUGAAAUCCCUCGGCUCAACCGAGGAACUGCGCUCAAAACUACCCGACUCGAGGGAGAUAGAGGAAAGCGGAACUGAUGGUGGAGCGGUGAAAUGCGUAGAUAUCUGGAGGAACACCGGUGGCGAAGGCGGCAUCCUGGACCGGCAUUGACGCUGAGGAGCGAAAGCCAGGGGAGCAAACGGG
rnacentral:rRNA from 1 species